UUGCCGGUGAUGAUAGCUUAUAUCAGCAUACCAUCUUUCGGGACUGAUUGGUGAAUGUUACCAGGAUGAUAUUCUGCAAUUCUGAGGCGU